rnacentral:rRNA from 1 species
GACGUAGGGGGCCAGCGUUGUUCGGAAUUACUGGGUGUAAAGGGUUCGUAGGCGGUGUGGCAAGUCGGGAGUGAAAUCUCUGGGCUCAACUCAGAGACUGCUUCCGAAACUGCUGUGCUGGAGUGUGGGAGAGGCGCGUGGAAUUGCAGGUGUAGCGGUGAAAUGCGUAGAUAUCUGCAGGAACACCCGUGGCGAAAGCGGCGCGCUGGACCACUACUGACGCUGAGGGACGAAAGCUAGGGGAGCAAACAGG